ACACAACACCACGCUUCUCUGCCA
rnacentral:siRNA from 1 species